rnacentral:rRNA from 1 species
AUGGGUUUUGAGGCCAGCAAAGCUCCGAUGCAUGCCCUGGAAGCUGGCCGCGGGGGGCAGGAACGGGUUGGGUAUUUUGUCGAACAGGAGGAAGGCGUCGAACGCGCAGUCGCAGUGCGGCACGGCGAGCGGCGUGGCGUGCGGGAUCAGCGCGAGGACGUCCGCGAUGGGCCCGUACAGCGCCCGCGCGCGGCGCAGCGCCCGGCGGAGGAGGAGGCAGUGCAGCGACGCGUUGUGCGUGCUGCGGAGGUAGUCCGCGGCGAGGCGGGUGAGCUCGGUGUCCGGCGCGUCCCCGAGCGCGCGCUCCACCACCGCGUCCUCCGGACGGAGCACGCCGGCGAGGGUGCUCCUGUUCUCCUCGUCCUCGUCUUGGUCGCCGCCGUCAACCCGUUGGCCGUCCACGACCACGUGGAUCUUGCCCCAGAUCUCGUUGUAGGAGCUGGUCUGGAUGGCGAGCGUGUACUCCUGGCUGAGGUUGAUGGUCGCCCCCGACGCGGGGCUGCUCCCCCACCCGCCCGCCGCCGCCGCACCACCGCCGGUCCUCCUCCCGCCGCUGCUAGGAGCGGUGCUCGAGCUCGUGCUCGCAUUCGCACUACUGGUGUUAGCGCCCGCGUUGGAGCAGGCAGCCUCGUCGUCUUCCUCCCCGUCGUCCGUGUCCCGGUCCUGGCGCUCCCACGGCCGCAUCGCUGA